rnacentral:rRNA from 1 species
UACGGAGGAUGCGAGCGUUAUCCGGAUUUAUUGGGUUUAAAGGGUGCGUAGGCGGGUUAUCAAGUCAGCGGUAAAAUUUCGGGGCUCAACCCCGUCGUGCCGUUGAAACUGGCGGGCUGGAGUUGGAGAGAAGUACGCGGAAUGCGCGGUGUAGCGGUGAAAUGCAUAGAUAUCACGCAGAACUCCGAUUGCGAAGGCAGCAUACCGGCGCCCAACUGACGCUGAGGCACGAAAGCGUGGGUAUCGAACAGG